rnacentral:rRNA from 1 species
UAGCCGGCCUGAGAGGGCGACCGGCCACACUGGGACUGAGACACGGCCCAGACUCCUACGGGAGGCAGCAGUGGGGAAUAUUGCACAAUGGGCGAAAGCCUGACGCAGCGACGCCGCGUGAGGGAUGACGGCCUUCGGGUUGUAAACCUCUUUCACCACGGAAGAAGGGAAAGUGACGGUACCUGCAGAACAAGCGCCGGCUAACUACGUGCCAGCAGCCGCGGUAAUACGUAGGGCGCAAGCGUUGUCCGGAAUUAUUGGGCGUAAAGAGCUCGUAGGCGGCUUGUCACGUCGGUGGUGAAAGCCCGGGGCUUAACCCCGGGUCUGCAAUCUAUACGGGCAGGCUAGAGUUCGGUAGGGGAGAUCGGAAUUCCUGGUGUAGCGAUGAAAUGCGCAGAUAUCAAGAGGAACAACGGUGGCAAAAGCGGAUCUCUGGGCCGAUACUGACUCUGAGGAGCGAAAGCGUGAGGAGCGAACAGGAUUAGAUACCCUGGUAGUCCAUGCCGUAGACGGUGGGCACUAAGUGUGGGCAACAUUC